GUCAAGGUAAAAUUAUGGUGUUUUUACGAAUUAGGAUAAUUACUCAAUUAAAGCCCAAUAUGAAAGUCUAUUAGAGUUUUAUAGAUUAUUUAGUGGGUUUAAUCUAUUGUAUGAAGUGCAUUAAAUAACAUUAUAAUGGAAUUAAUGUUAAAAAAAUUCGUAGGUUUUGAUAAAUUCGCAGGAUUAAAAACUGUUUUACUAAAAUGAUCAUAUCUAGAGUUUUAGAGCUCCGAUUGAGGUGAUUCCAGUGGCGUUGGAAAGAUAAUUCAAAGAUCUAUAAAUUUUGUAGAAAUAGUUAUAUCAUAAUUCGGAAUUUUUCUGGGUGAAAACUGAGCCUAAAGUUACGAAAUAAAGGGCUUACUUUUAAAAUUUAAAAAUUUAGAUAUUUGUUGAUUUAAUAAUAUUUUAGCAUUUUAUUAUAUAUUAUUAUUUUUAGUUAACCUAAACCUAUCAGAAUACGAUAUCUCAUAAUCUUUUUAUCAAACCCUAAACUAUCAUAGUUUUAUUUUUCCUCUCCAAACCAAUUAGUCAAAGCCUCAUUCUUCUUCAUGUUUGCUCCUCUCAAACCUUCCACAAUUCUUCUUAUAUUCUACCUUCAUUCUUAAAGUUUUGGAUUUAUAAUCAAGGCUUGCGGGCUUGAGACAUCGAAUAGAAAUAUGUGAAGAGGUAGUAGUGACGAGAUAACAAGUCUUAAGCAGUGGGAUUUGAGGAUCUUGUCCUCAACAAGAAAAUUUAUUGAGGUGCUUGGAGUAGCAAGAAGGUGUUCUUAACAACUGAGGUAAAGAUAAAACUAAGCAGUGAGGAUGGCGAGCUCGAGGCGUGGAUUACAUGUUAGGGGAUUGUCACGAUGUUUUGGUUUAAAAAUAUUUCAUUUAAGAUUAUGAUUCAAAUAGUUUUUGUAAAGCUUUAUAUUUUAAGGUUAUGAAUAAAUAAAUGUUUUGUUUUAAAAAUAA